AAUCGGAGUCGACUUGUGAAAAAAUACAGCAAUGCAAAACGUUAAGUGUCCCUAACCUGCAUGAAAGACACGCGCGGCGCUGUAGUUGACACGUCUU
rnacentral:sRNA from 1 species